AGUAGAGAGCCUGAAUUGAAAGGAUUAUCUUGAUAGGAUAAAUCAUGCAGCCACCUGCCUCUAUUA
rnacentral:tRNA from 1 species